CUUGUUUACUAUGCCCCCACCACCAACUUCCUCUUCUCAGUGUAAAAGUUCUCUUUCACUUGCUGCGCUGGGUAGUUGCACAUGACUCACCACAAUUGCAGACUCUGUAUGGCAACUCCCUACUGAUCCUGAAUAAACCCAUUUCUGCUGGAGAAAUAACAGACAAUCUAUUUGUUUCAGGUCAAAAACAAGCAGCAGUAAUAAACAGAAAAGUGAAUGGUUUGUGAGAGCAAACUUGGUAUAUUUGCCCUGACUGAGGGCACAGGAGAGAGACAGGUAGUUGCUAGGACUGCAUUGUGCUGGCAAGGACCCUGUUGAUGGUAAUCAUGAAAUUUUUCAUAGAAAAUGGAGGAAGUAACUCUGGCCACCAAUGACUUAAGUUUUUGUCAUUCUUUUGCUGUGUUUUAGCCUACAAAAACUCUUGGCAGUUUCAGAUUCUGAAAAUUUCAGAAACCAUGGAAGAUGAAGAGUAUAACUACUCAUCUGGAAAGAGAAGAAGAGACACCUACUGCCAUUCUCAACUCCUGACUGCUGGUAGCUCAUCUACAGUAGACCAGAUGGAAAAGGGGAUUUACAUCAAUAUAUUCUCAACAUUCAUUAACUUCACCUUAGAAUGCUUAGAUUAGAAGACGCAACAAUAAAUGGCAGCAAAGAACGGAAGCAUCAGGCAUUAGAGAUGCAAGCAAGCUCUUUAGGCAGGAGCUUUCCAGCUGCAUUGGAACUGAAGGCAACCCCCUUAAAACAACAGUGUUACUGCUCAAGAGUUACAGCGUGGAAGCAUUUCAGCCUUUGUAGGGUGAUGUCAUUUAAGGGGGCAUCCCUGGUCCUCUGGAACAAAAGCACGGCCUUGCAACGGUGUUGCCUUGGAGACCCCAGUUCACCUGAACAAAAGUUUUACAGCAGAUUUUAUUAAAGCAAAAUUACACUCUUAGAGAGAAUGGGCUGUCCUUGGGGUAGGGACUACCUCAACAUUACAAUUGGAUUUCCCUUACCUGCACAUGCUGCAGACCUGAGUAGGGACCUGAGUCUUCCUAUCCCAACUCACUGAUUAUUCCUUCCCCUGCCCACUGCUCCUGUGUAAGGGAUGAGUAUGCUUUAGCUUUGUAUAGGGAAUAUUUAAUCUUCUAAUUGUUCUCAGGCAGGAUACCUUAUUUGCAUGGGGAACAGGUUAAAAAAGGUGGGGUGAGGAUUGGGCCACAUACCUUUCCUGGUAGGGAGUAGGAAGGAGGUUCCUCAAGGUGGAGGAAGAGGCAUUACAAUGAGAUGGGUGAGGUCAUGAUAAGGGUCUGGUAAUUCUCGUCUUGGGCAGAAGCUUUGGGUUUAAUCUCCUUGAAGGAUACUUGAAGCCUAAAAGAUUUAGCACUUGAUAAUCAAAAAUGAUUAAAACUACUUGUUUUCUUAUAUAAACACAUUAAAUAAUUUGGAAAAUCUUUGAAUUACAAAUGAAUAUGUACAAAUGAAUUACAAAUGGCUGGUUAUCUGUCUAUCUAUCAUAUAUUUGCUAGGGUCUGUCUUAAAGCUAUAUAUGAAUUAUUUCAUCUUCAAAAGAAUCCUAUUAUAUAGAUCUUUUUGUCUCCUUUCAAAACUUAUAAAGAAAGUGAUGACAGAAUAUAAUUUCCUAAAAUGAGUAUAAAUUAUAAAACUUAUAGUGGUGAGUUUUCUGAGUGUAGAAGAUAGAACAAAUAAUAGAAUCAAGAUGGUGGAAGGGUAAGACAUUCUCAGCUUCCCCCACAAACAUAUCAAAAAAACUCAACCACAUGUAGAAAAAUCUGUAGAAAAUAUCUACUGAAUGCUGGCAGAAGAACUUAAACUCCAAAAAUGGUCAAGAAACCCUCCACAUAACUGAGUAGAACAAAAGAAAUAAAAGAGGGAUGGGGGAGAAAAAAGCCA
ensembl:lncRNA